UCCCUAGUGGUCCGGUGCUUAAGAUUCUGUGCUCCCAACGCAGGGACCCAGGUUCGAUUCCUGGUCAGGGAG
rnacentral:tRNA from 1 species